AGUGAACGCUGGCGGUAGGCCUAACACAUGCAAGUCGAACGGCAGCACAGUAAGAGCUUGCUCUUACGGGUGGCGAGUGGCGGACGGGUGAGGAAUACAUCGGAAUCUACUUUUUCGUGGGGGAUAACGUAGGGAAACUUACGCUAAUACCGCAUACGACCUACGGGUGAAAGCAGGGGAUCUUCGGACCUUGCGCGAUUGAAUGAGCCGAUGUCGGAUUAGCUAGUUGGCGGGGUAAAGGCCCACCAAGGCGACGAUCCGUAGCUGGUCUGAGAGGAUGAUCAGCCACACUUGAACUGAGACACGGUCCAGACUCCUACGGGAGGCAGCAGUGGGGAAUAUUUGGCAAUGGGCGCAAGCCUGAUCCAGCCAUACCGCGUGGGUGAAGAAGGCCUUCGGGUUGUAAAGCCCUUUUGUUGGGAAAGAAAAGCAGCAGGUUAAUACCCCGCUGUUCUGACGGUACCCAAAGAAUAAGCACCGGCUAACUUCGUG
rnacentral:rRNA from 1 species